rnacentral:miRNA from 1 species
UUCGUCGGAGAAGCAUGUUGC